rnacentral:rRNA from 1 species
CCUACGGGGGGCAGCAGUGGGGAAUAUUGGACAAUGGGGGGAACCCUGAUCCAGCCAUGCCGCGUGUGUGAAGAAGGCCCUCGGGUUGUAAAGCACUUUCAGUGAGGAAGAACGCCUGGUGGUUAAUACCCAUCAGGAAAGACAUCACUCACAGAAGAAGCACCGGCUAACUCCGUGCCAGCAGCCGCGGUAAUACGGAGGGUGCGAGCGUUAAUCGGAAUUACUGGGCGUAAAGCGCGCGUAGGUGGCUUGAUAAGCCGGUUGUGAAAGCCCCGGGCUCAACCUGGGAACGGCAUCCGGAACUGUCAAGCUAGAGUGCAGGAGAGGAAGGUAGAAUUCCCGGUGUAGCGGUGAAAUGCGUAGAGAUCGGGAGGAAUACCAGUGGCGAAGGCGGCCUUCUGGACUGACACUGACACUGAGGUGCGAAAGCGUGGGUAGUAAACAGGAUUAGAUACCCGUGUAGUC